AGUAGCGGCGAGUGAAGCGGCAAAAGCUCAAAUUUGAAAUCUGGCGCCUUCGGUGUCCGAGUUGUAAUUUGAAGAUUGUAACCUUGGGGUUGGCUCUUGUCUAUGUUUCUUGGAACAGGACGUCACAGAGGGUGAGAAUCCCGUGCGAUGAGAUGCCCAAUUCUAUGUAAGGUGCUUUCGAAGAGUCGAGUUGUUUGGGAAUGCAGCUCUAAGUGGGUGGUAAAUUCCAUCUAAAGCUAAAUAUUGGCGAGAGACCGAUAGCGAACAAGUACAGUGAUGGAAAGAUGAAAAGAACUUUGAAAAGAGAGUGAAAAAGUACGUGAAAUUGUUGAAAGGGAAGGGUUUGAGAUCAGACUCGAUAUUUUGUGAGCCUUGCCUUCGUGGCGGGGUGACCCGCAGCUUAUCGGGCCAGCAUCGGUUUGGGCGGUAGGAUAAUGGCGUAGGAAUGUGACUUUACUUCGGUGAAGUGUUAUAGCCUGCGUUGAUGCUGCCUGCCUAGACCGA
rnacentral:rRNA from 1 species